GGUCGGGUGGCGCAAUUGGUAGCGCGUUACUUUCCGGUUGAAAAACAUUCUGGAACUCUAGGGAUCCUGGUGAAACAUCCUCAGUUGGUAAAGGUUCUGGGUUCGAGUCCCAGCUCGAUCG